UUUCAUAACUCUUUACUGUUAAAUUUCGCUAGGAAAAGUGAUGUUAGUGUUCACAGAGUUAUGUUAAUUUAUGUUAUCAGUGUAUUUCGGAGUCCUUUCUGUUUUAGCGUUUUUUAGCCUGUUAUACUCACUCGUGUUUCUCAAUGCAAUUAUGUGGCAGUGCAAGGACUGCAAAAUAACAGUCACGACUAGAUCACAGUUGUUGAAACACUAUAGAUUAGUGCAUAGACAUUAUGGUCGCGGUAUUUGUUUUCCAUGCACUUAUUUCGAGUGUCCCUGUAGAUUUAAAACGUGGAAUGCGCUACACAGCCAUCUUAAUCGUAGCCAUGCAAAAGAGAACACGGGAUUACCUGCAAGUGUAACGAUAGCCACGUUCAAUUGCCAUGUGUGUUCUUGCAGUAAUAUAGAGUCAGAACGGGAGUAUUUUAGUCACAUCCAUAACCACCUAAAAAACAGUGAGACAGUGCAUUGUAUGUUUGAGCACUGUUCUUUUCAGACAAAUGUGUAUGGCACAUUUAAGUCUCAUAAGAAUAGGAAGCACCAUUCUUAUUCUCUUCAGGACUUCAAACCAGGGGUUGUUAGAGAAAGUGGUAAUGUUACUCAGGAAUUAAAUGAAGAUCCAUUCCCAGCUGAAAAGGAGAAUGUAGAUGUUUCAGGUAGUGAAGAAAUAGAAACAGAAGUACAAGAUUUGUCCAAGACAAUAGAGCUCAAAUUUGCAUCCAUUUUACUAAAACUUGAAAAUUAUUUUCAUGUUCCUAGUAAUGCUAUUGAUGAACUCAUCACAGAUUUGCAGUACUUGAUCAGUUCUGCAUCAGGAUCCAUAUCAACACAAGUUUUUCUUGCUACAUUUCAGAAACAUAAUCUUCAUGUAGAUCAGCAUAUCAUAAAAGAGCUAAUCAGUUCGUUGUCAUCAUCCAACCCUCUGUUGAAAGCUACUUCAAAUGAUGGUCCUUUGGCCACUGCUUUCAAGCGCAUGAAAUAUUACAGGGAAAAUUUUGAGAUUAUUGAACCUGUUGAAAUAAUUCUUCAGUCUGAAAAAAAUAGAUCUUUCCAAUACAUACCCAUCUUAAAAUCAUUACAACAGCUGCUUAAUCAAAAAGAAAUACUUAAUAAAGUUGUUGGUUGUCAUACAGGACAGCAAAUCAUAAAUGAUGGAUCUUACAGCUCUUUUAAAGAUGGUCAACACUUUAAAGAUAAUGAGUUUCUCUCAGGAACUGAGCUCAGACUCUCCUUGUGUCUGUACAUAGAUGACUUUGAGCUGUGCAAUCCAUUAGGAACGUCACGCAAAAAGCAUAAGAUCUGUGCAGUUUAUUGGAUUUUAGGGAACUUGCCACCAGGAUGUAGUUCAUCGUUGUCCUCAAUUUAUCUCGCUCUGUUAUGUAAAAGUGAUGAUGUAAAGGCCUAUGGCUAUAGAAAAAUUUUUGAGCCUCUUGUGAAGGAUCUCAUCACUUUAGAGCAGCAGGGCGUGUUUGUCAAUCACUUGAAAACAUUUAUCAGAGGAACAGUGCAGUAUGUGGUUGCGGACAGUCUUGGUGCACAUGCUUUAGCUGGUUUUGUUGAAAAUUUUUCAGGGGAAUAUUUUUGCAGGUUUUGCACUGCUACACGCACAGAUAUUCAGUCUAAAGAGGUCAGAGAUGGCUCUUUUCCUCUUAGAUCUGAAGAGCAGCAUGAUGUACAUGUAGCAGAUGCAUGUAAGAAAGGAGAAGCAUGUUGUGGUGUAAAAAAUGCUUGUCCUUUAUCUGAAAACCUCUCAUACUUUAAAGUUACUGCAGGUUUUCCCCCAGAUGUGGCCCAUGAUCUCCUAGAAGGUAUAGUACCUGUUGAGUUGGCUGGAUGCAUUGAAAUAUUUAUAAAGAAGAAAUAUUUCACCUUUGAUCAACUUAACAAACUGAUUCAGGAAUUCCCAUUCAAGUGGGGAGAUAAAACCAAUCGCCCUCAUGUGCUUCCACUCACUUUUUCAAGGAAAAAAACUAUUGGGGGAAACGCACAUGAGAAUUGGUGUUUGCUGCGGCUAAUGCCAUUAAUUGUUGGAAAACUUAUACCUCAGGAUGAACCCGCUUGGGAACUCAUUCUUCUCCUGAAAGACAUUGUUGAACUUGUUGUGUGUCCGGUGCACACUAGCGAGUCUGUUGCAUACUUGGAGAGCAAGAUAUCUGAACACCGCAAUCGGUUCAAAGUACUUUUUCCAGAAAGAAAGCUUUUGCCAAAACAUCACUUUCUGGAACAUUAUCCAGCGAUGAUCCAUCUAUUUGGUCCACCUGUUUCAUUCUGGACAAUGAGGUUUGAAGCCAAGCACAGUUUUUUUAAGCAAGUGGCUAGGCACACUAACUGUUUCAAAAAUAUCACCAAGACUUUGGCCAGGAAACAUCAGCUCAUGGUUGGUCAGUAUAUGCAGUCAUCCCAGUGCGAUGAAUUACCUGUAGAGGUUACACGCAUUUCAACUGUCCCUGUCGAUGUUCUCCAUGAAGACAUUGCUUACACUUUUAACCAAAGAUACCCGAACACUUCUGCUAUUAAUUUAGCUCAGACAGUAUUUUCUGACGGCAUAAAGUACACAAAGGGCAUGAUCAUUGUGCAUGGAACAAUUAGUGGGCUGCCUGAUUUUGCAGAAAUAGUGCAGAUUUGUGUUUUGAAAGAUGGAAUUGCUUUUAUAGCAAAACAGUUAAGUUCUUGGUACAAUGAGCACUAUCGAUCCUUUGAAUUGGAUCCACAUCCAAGGGAUAUCUCAUUUAUAGAGCUGAAUGAAUUGGCAGACCGUUAUCCUCUCUGUGAUUAUAAAGUUGGUGCUAUCCGUAUGGUUACCUUGAAAAGAUACAUACACGCUGCUUGACCAGUUUUCUUUUUUUUCUUACAGAGUGAUUGAUUAAACAGAGAAAAUGACAGAUCCAGCAAAGUUUAAAAUUGUUCUAGGAGAGAGUGAUUCAUUUAAAUUGAUGCUGCCAUCCGGAAUACCCAAAUCUAUUGCAGAUUUUAAAUCUGAGAUCAGGAAACAAUGUGGUGUCACAGGAGAUUUCAGACUGCAGUAUCUUGAUAUGGACUUUGAUGAUUUCUUGAAUCUUACCUCAACUGUGGAUCUCCAGGACAAAGGAACGGUUAAAGUCAUAGCACAAAGUGCAUAUGAUGCCUGUUCUCUUUCUUCUGCUGACACUGAUAUACGCUCAUCAACCUCCUCUUCAUCACCAUCUUGCCUGCCAGUUUCUCCAGCAACAUCAGAUGUUGCUUCUGCCUCAACUUCUGAGCUGUCUUCUUCCACAAAGCUGAGGAGUGAAACCUGGCCAACUAACUUUCCGAUCCCUACGUUUCCUUAUGAGGUAGAGCUGGAACUGCAGAAAGCCCACGAAGAGUUCUUGAAUGACGGUACUUUACUUAACAUAGACUCAAAACCCAAACUAAAAUCAGAAAUUAUGAAAUCCUUGGCUGCAGAAGUAGUGAAGUACAAAGUGUACCCUAGGAUUGAAGAAUACGAAGAGGUUGCGAAGGCACUGAUUACAAAGCAUCCAUGCCUACAGGAAAAGGGAUCAGUUGGGGGGUUCUAUGGCUGGAAGAUUAGUCUACAGUGGAAGAUGGCGAACUAUCGGCGUACACUGCGAGCAGCUGGCUGUUCUGAAGUAAAGAUAAAUUCUUUAAAACACAAACAUGGUGAAACUACAAAUCCAAACCAAGUCAAAAAGCCAAAGAAGGCUGAAGUCAAUUUUUACCCUGAUUAUCCAGCUGGAGAGAACACACAAAGCCUAGAGGAAGAGCGACUGGCAUUGCUGUCUGAGGUUCAGAAAAGAGACAACCAUCAAAUUAUUAAAAACAAAAUGGAAAAAACUUUUGUCUACAGAAGACAUGAAUUGAUUGAAGAGAUGCCCUUCAUUGUUGACUUUAAAUGCAGAUGGCCAGCUCUGUUUUGUGAAAAUGAGAUUGCUGCUGAAUUCAGUCGAAUCACUACUGUCCCACUAAUUCAGACAUUUAUGUCAAAACUGGAUGGUUACACCAGCAAGCUGGCCAGCAUCUACCGUAAAAAAGGAGGAAUUGCAGGGCGUAAAAUUUUGAGACUGAUGGCUACCAUCGACGAGAAUGAUACCAUCUCAACUCGGAGAGCUUGCAGUCUUAGAGCACUUUCUGUGUAUCUUAAUGAAGACUAUCAAAACCUCAUGAAGGAGUAUACAGACACAGACUUUGAAAACUCUGAGAGAGACAUGGCCAAUACUGUCAUUGGAAUCUACAUCGUCAGACCUGAAGGUGCAGAAGCCUGUGACCCACCAUCAGAUGUUGGACUGAUUGUUGAGGGAGUGAAAGUGCUUCAGAACCUUGGCGAUGUCACCAAGGCUUGUGCUCUUCUUUUGGGAGUCAUAUACAGCCUAAAUCUCAGUUAUCCUUCAGACCUGAAAUACACUUUUGAGUUUUUCCAGAAAGUGUUGCUGGGACUUGAUGCACAUAAACUGUCACACAAAAUACAAGUUCUCAAGAACAAACUUGUUGGCUGAAUCAGUACUUCAGUCUGGACAAAUGAAAGAAAUGGAGGAAGAAGCUUUUUUUGUGACAUUUAAACUGUUUAUGGUUUUAAAAUUAGGGGCCAGUUUUAAUGUUAUCUUUGUUGAUGGCACAAAAAUUUUAAAUGGAUUUCUGCAACUUUAACUGGUUAAAAUUGUUUCGUUAUUUACAAAGAUUAGAGGUCAGUUUUAUUCUUCUCUUUACUAAUGGCUUGAACGAUUUCAGAUAUCAAAAAUUGAGCACUGCAGCAGUUUGUGACAUGCUGCCUGUCUUAAACUUUCCUUUUCUUUUUCAAAGUAAAAUUUAUUACACUACUUGAAGGCAGUUGCACAGAGUAAAAGAACAUUUUGGUCAAUAGUAAACAUUCUUUGUUUUUGUUUUUUUUGUUUUUUUUUUUUUCUGUUAUUUUGAAACAAACCGUUAUUUUUGUGGUGUUUUUCAAAAAAUAGAGGACGGUUGUAUUCUUUAACAAUAGCUUAAACAUUUUGAAAUGAUGAAACAAUUGAGCACUGUAGCAUUUUGUGAUGGGCUGCUUGUCUUAAAACGUUAUUACAAAUUUUCUUUUGUAAUUUUGAUCUUAUACAUUUUUUCUUACAUAUUUGAAGGAAGUAGCACAUUGUAAGAAUGUUCACUAUUGGCCAAAAUGUUGUUUUUUGUUUAAACUGUUAUUUAAACUGUUUGUGGAUGUUUACAAAAAUAGAGGCCAGUUUUAAUGUUACUCUUGCUGUUGAUUGUAAAGAUCAGAAAUGGAGUUUAGCAGUACUUUAACAUUCCGUUUAUUUAUUUUUUCUAAGUAAGAUUAUUUCAAAUUCUUGAAGCUAGUUGCACUUUAAAAGACCUUGUGAAGAAUGUUUAUUGUCAAGAAGGUAACACUUGAUGUUUUUGUGUAUUUGUUUUAAAGGACCUGUGAAAUUAAAAUUGUUUUAUUGGUUUUAGCAGUUGUAUGUUGCCAAACCUU